GACCAAUCCUACGCUACACCCGAAAAUAAGAAAAAGAAUAACAAUAGACUAAAUCGUAUUACAAUAUCUAAAUCCGAAAUUAACUUAAUCAUGGCAAUUGAUCAAUUUCCAUCCUAAUCCUAUUUGGAUAGAAAAUUCAUGUAACAAUCAUGUAAACUAUUACUACAACUCUACAAGUAUAGACAUUCAUGAUUCAUGGACACAAAAAAAAAAAAAAAAAAAGAAAGAAGAAAAAACACUAUAAAAAUACUAUUUCUUUGAUCACAUUCUCUCCCACCAAACAAAAUCUAAGGAAAGUGGGAGGAAAAAAAUGUAAAGCUUGGCAGGAUAAUCAGAUUCUCUUCCUUGAUCUUCAUCCUCCAUCAUUUUGAAAUCUUGGGGCAGAGUCAUUUAAUGUUUUUCUGUUUCAACAUCAUUUUGAAGACUUAUCAUCUGUCAGAAACAUGAGAAGCAAAAACAGCAAUAUCUUCCACCUUGUUUUGAUGCCUUUUUAGCUUUUGGAGGAGGAGGAGGCCGCGGCGGCGAUGAUUUCUCUGGCUGCUGUUG